rnacentral:tRNA from 1 species
GCCGCCGUGGCACAACCUGGUAAUGCGCUAGCCUUGAGAGCUAGUUUCCGAAAGGAUAUCCCAGUUCAAAUCUGGGCGGCGGCG